AAGCAAAUAAAGAGCACUUACUUAAGCAUUAGUAAUAGCUAUAUAGAUAAAUCAUUCAAUUUAAGACCGGAAAAAUGUUUCAGAAGAGCUAAACCCAUCAAAGCACUAGAAGAAGGUUGUUGUCUUUUACCAACCCUUUUAGUAAUCUUAGAAAAGGGAAAAAAGAAGUUGAAAGAUACGGAAAUAGGCUGUUCACAAAGGUCGAAAUUUCCAUUUCUAAGAAGAGUGGGCGAGCAGAACGAACUGAUGAUUGAGAAUUAAAGAUGAGAUGUUAAAUGUGGCAUGCGACAGUAGUCGAUGCCCAAUGGAUUUGUGAUGCAUGCGACGAGGAACUGGCAGUUGGGUCUGAAAGUCUGAAGCCACCCAUCCUUGUUUUGGUGGACAACAUCAAUUGUUUCAAAUUGGCGAAACAAAUCGGUUAACAAAUGAUGCCAGUCGGUAUAAUACUACCGAGAACAGUGAGUUGAUGAUGAUAGCCAUUGCAAGUCGACCAGCACUGUAUGACCACAGGUUGCCCAUAAGUGAUCGAAGCAGAAAUAUAAUACACCGGCUAUGGGAAGGAGUGGUCAUGGAGGUUGAUGGGCAUUUUAGGGACCUCCAGGAAAUUCAAUUGCGCUGACGUAGUUUGCGGGAUCGCUUUGUAAAGGAAUUCCAAUUUUCUAUGGCCAAGCGUUCUGGGGAUGAGGGUGGAAUUACACAUGAUUAUUAUUUUUGAGGGAUGUCAUAAAACCCAAAAAACCAACAAGUUACCAUGCUUCUACCAGUUCUACCAGCACAAGUUCCAGUGCUACAAUCAGUACGAGAACCAGUAUUAGUUCUAGUGGUCCAACAAAUACAAAAAGGAAGCGUCUUGAAAGUCAGACUGUCAUAUACCGAAUGAAAGUGAUGCCUUCUGCACACGUUUGGCAGCAGGGUUGCGAUGGUUGCCAGAUCACAAUUGGAGAUCUAGAUUCUCCAAUUGUUAUAUGAAAAAGAGGAGGAAUGUGGAUUGCGUGAUUAAAAUUUUUGUUUUCAAUUUUUUAUUAUGAAUAUUUAUAUGUAAUACACAACAAGCAUAACUAUCA